UGGCUAACUCCGUGCCAGCAGCCGCGGUAAUACGGAGGGGGCUAGCGUUAUUCGGAAUUAUUGGGCGUAAAGGGCGCGUAGGCGGGUUAAUAAGUUAAAAGUGAAAUCCCAAGGCUUAACCUUGGAAUUGCUUUUAAAACUAUUAAUCUAGAGAUUGAAAGAGGAUAGAGGAAUUCCUGAUGUAGAGGUAAAAUUCGUAAAUAUUAGGAGGAACACCAGUGGCGAAGGCGUCUAU
rnacentral:rRNA from 1 species